ensembl:lncRNA
CAAGUAGGUGGGUCCGCGAGCCUCCCUCCCUCAGAGGCAUUGCAUAAGCAGCCGCAGCCCUGACUACAUUCCCAUGGUUACCGGGCUGGGAAAGGCUGGCCGAGAUGGCAUCGCCAUGGCACCGGCAUGGUCCACAGCUCUGCUGGGCGUGGCUCUGGUAUGUGUAGCUCUGGUCUCUUGCUGGACAGAUGGCCUUCACAGAGGGCCCUCCCAGACAUCCAGUGGCCUUGGAUAUCAUGAUGUGAGUCUUGUCCUCUUUACUGCACCUCAGCACAGUCCAGUGAUGCAAUGCUGCUUCUCCCCUUGCUUCAUCGUAUGA